rnacentral:rRNA from 1 species
UACGGGGGGGGCAAGCGUUGUUCGGAAUUACUGGGCGUAAAGCGCGUGUAGGCGGUUGCCCAAGUCGGGGGUGAAAGCCUUGAGCUCAACUCAAGAAAUGCACUCGGUACUGGGUGACUAGAGGACCGGAGAGGAUAGUGGAAUUCCCAGUGUAGUGGUGAAAUACGUAGAGAUUGGGAAGAACACCAGUGGCGAAGGCGGCUAUCUGGACGGUUUCUGACGCUAAGACGCGAAAGCGUGGGGAGCAAACAGG